GACGAACGCUGGCGGCGUGCCUAAUACAUGCAAGUCGAACGAACUCUGGUAUUGAUUGGUGCUUGCAUCAUGAUUUACAUUUGAGUGAGUGGCGAACUGGUGAGUAACACGUGGGAAACCUGCCCAGAAGCGGGGGAUAACACCUGGAAACAGAUGCUAAUACCGCAUAACAACUUGGACCGCAUGGUCCGAGUUUGAAAGAUGGCUUCGGCUAUCACUUUUGGAUGGUCCCGCGGCGUAUUAGCUAGAUGGUGGGGUAACGGCUCACCAUGGCAAUGAUACGUAGCCGACCUGAGAGGGUAAUCGGCCACAUUGGGACUGAGACACGGCCCAAACUCCUACGGGAGGCAGCAGUAGGGAAUCUUCCACAAUGGACGAAAGUCUGAUGGAGCAACGCCGCGUGAGUGAAGAAGGGUUUCGGCUCGUAAAACUCUGUUGUUAAAGAAGAACAUAUCUGAGAGUAACUGUUCAGGUAUUGACGGUAUUUAACCAGAAAGCCACGGCUAACUACGUGCCAGCAGCCGCGGUAAUACGUAGGUGGCAAGCGUUGUCCGGAUUUAUUGGGCGUAAAGCGAGCGCAGGCGGUUUUUUAAGUCUGAUGUGAAAGCCUUCGGCUCAACCGAAGAAGUGCAUCGGAAACUGGGAAACUUGAGUGCAGAAGAGGACAGUGGAACUCCAUGUGUAGCGGUGAAAUGCGUAGAUAUAUGGAAGAACACCAGUGGCGAAAGGCGGCUGUCUGGUCUGUAACUGACGCUGAGGCUCGAAAGUAUGGGUAGCAAACAGGAUUAGAUACCCUGGUAGUCCAUACCGUAAACGAUGAAUGCUAAGUGUUGGAGGGUUUCCGCCCUUCAGUGCUGCAGCUAACGCAUUAAGCAUUCCGCCUGGGGAGUACGGCCGCAAGGCUGAAACUCAAAGGAAUUGACGGGGGCCCGCACAAGCGGUGGAGCAUGUGGUUUAAUUCGAAGCUACGCGAAGAACCUUACCAGGUCUUGACAUACUAUGCAAAUCUAAGAGAUUAGACGUUCCCUUCGGGGACAUGGAUACAGGUGGUGCAUGGUUGUCGUCAGCUCGUGUCGUGAGAUGUUGGGUUAAGUCCCGCAACGAGCGCAACCCUUAUUAUCAGUUGCCAGCAUUAAGUUGGGCACUCUGGUGAGACUGCCGGUGACAAACCGGAGGAAGGUGGGGAUGACGUCAAAUCAUCAUGCCCCUUAUGACCUGGGCUACACACGUGCUACAAUGGAUGGUACAACGAGUUGCGAACUCGCGAGAGUAAGCUAAUCUCUUAAAGCCAUUCUCAGUUCGGAUUGUAGGCUGCAACUCGCCUACAUGAAGUCGGAAUCGCUAGUAAUCGCGGAUCAGCAUGCCGCGGUGAAUACGUUCCCGGGCCUUGUACACACCGCCCGUCACACCAUGAGAGUUUGUAACACCCAAAGUCGGUGGGGUAACCUUUUAGGAACCAGCCGCCUAAGGUGGGACAGAUGAUUAGGGUG
rnacentral:rRNA from 2 species